UUAAGCGACUAAGCGUACACGGUGGAUGCCCUGGCAGUCAGAGGCGAUGAAGGACGUGCUAAUCUGCGAUAAGCGUCGGUGAGGUGAUAUGAACCGUUAUAACCGGCGAUUUCCGAAUGGGGAAACCCAGUGUGAUUCGACACACUAUCAUUAACUGAAUCCAUAGGUUAAUGAGGCGAACCGGGGGAACUGAAACAUCUAAGUACCCCGAGGAAAAGAAAUCAACCGAGAUUCCCCCAGUAGCGGCGAGCGAACGGGGAGGAGCCCAGAGCCUGAAUCAGUGUGUGUGUUAGUGGAAGCGUCUGGAAAGGCGCGCGAUACAGGGUGACAGCCCCGUACACAAAAAUGCACAUACUGUGAGCUCGAUGAGUAGGGCGGGACACGUGGUAUCCUGUCUGAAUAUGGGGGGACCAUCCUCCAAGGCUAAAUACUCCUGACUGACCGAUAGUGAACCAGUACCGUGAGGGAAAGGCGAAAAGAACCCCGGCGAGGGGAGUGAAAAAGAACCUGAAACCGUGUACGUACAAGCAGUGGGAGCCUCUUAAUGGGGUGACUGCGUACCUUUUGUAUAAUGGGUCAGCGACUUAUAUUCUGUAGCAAGGUUAACCGAAUAGGGGAGCCGAAGGGAAACCGAGUCUUAACUGGGCGUUAAGUUGCAGGGUAUAGACCCGAAACCCGGUGAUCUAGCCAUGGGCAGGUUGAAGGUUGGGUAACACUAACUGGAGGACCGAACCGACUAAUGUUGAAAAAUUAGCGGAUGACUUGUGGCUGGGGGUGAAAGGCCAAUCAAACCGGGAGAUAGCUGGUUCUCCCCGAAAGCUAUUUAGGUAGCGCCUCGUGAAUUCAUCUCCGGGGGUAGAGCACUGUUUCGGCAAGGGGGUCAUCCCGACUUACCAACCCGAUGCAAACUGCGAAUACCGGAGAAUGUUAUCACGGGAGACACACGGCGGGUGCUAACGUCCGUCGUGAAGAGGGAAACAACCCAGACCGCCAGCUAAGGUCCCAAAGUCAUGGUUAAGUGGGAAACGAUGUGGGAAGGCCCAGACAGCCAGGAUGUUGGCUUAGAAGCAGCCAUCAUUUAAAGAAAGCGUAAUAGCUCACUGGUCGAGUCGGCCUGCGCGGAAGAUGUAACGGGGCUAAACCAUGCACCGAAGCUGCGGCAGCGACACUAUGUGUUGUUGGGUAGGGGAGCGUUCUGUAAGCCUGUGAAGGUGUGCUGUGAGGCAUGCUGGAGGUAUCAGAAGUGCGAAUGCUGACAUAAGUAACGAUAAAGCGGGUGAAAAGCCCGCUCGCCGGAAGACCAAGGGUUCCUGUCCAACGUUAAUCGGGGCAGGGUGAGUCGACCCCUAAGGCGAGGCCGAAAGGCGUAGUCGAUGGGAAACAGGUUAAUAUUCCUGUACUUGGUGUUACUGCGAAGGGGGGACGGAGAAGGCUAUGUUGGCCGGGCGACGGUUGUCCCGGUUUAAGCGUGUAGGCUGGUUUUCCAGGCAAAUCCGGAAAACCAAGGCUGAGGCGUGAUGACGAGGCACUACGGUGCUGAAGCGACAAAUGCCCUGCUUCCAGGAAAAGCCUCUAAGCAUCAGGUAACAUCAAAUCGUACCCCAAACCGACACAGGUGGUCAGGUAGAGAAUACCAAGGCGCUUGAGAGAACUCGGGUGAAGGAACUAGGCAAAAUGGUGCCGUAACUUCGGGAGAAGGCACGCUGAUAUGUAGGUGAAGCGACUUGCUCGUGGAGCUGAAAUCAGUCGAAGAUACCAGCUGGCUGCAACUGUUUAUUAAAAACACAGCACUGUGCAAACACGAAAGUGGACGUAUACGGUGUGACGCCUGCCCGGUGCCGGAAGGUUAAUUGAUGGGGUUAGCGGCAACGCGAAGCUCUUGAUCGAAGCCCCGGUAAACGGCGGCCGUAACUAUAACGGUCCUAAGGUAGCGAAAUUCCUUGUCGGGUAAGUUCCGACCUGCACGAAUGGCGUAAUGAUGGCCAGGCUGUCUCCACCCGAGACUCAGUGAAAUUGAACUCGCUGUGAAGAUGCAGUGUACCCGCGGCAAGACGGAAAGACCCCGUGAACCUUUACUAUAGCUUGACACUGAACAUUGAGCCUUGAUGUGUAGGAUAGGUGGGAGGCUUUGAAGUGUGGACGCCAGUCUGCAUGGAGCCGACCUUGAAAUACCACCCUUUAAUGUUUGAUGUUCUAACGUUGGCCCGUAAUCCGGGUUGCGGACAGUGUCUGGUGGGUAGUUUGACUGGGGCGGUCUCCUCCUAAAGAGUAACGGAGGAGCACGAAGGUUGGCUAAUCCUGGUCGGACAUCAGGAGGUUAGUGCAAUGGCAUAAGCCAGCUUGACUGCGAGCGUGACGGCGCGAGCAGGUGCGAAAGCAGGUCAUAGUGAUCCGGUGGUUCUGAAUGGAAGGGCCAUCGCUCAACGGAUAAAAGGUACUCCGGGGAUAACAGGCUGAUACCGCCCAAGAGUUCAUAUCGACGGCGGUGUUUGGCACCUCGAUGUCGGCUCAUCACAUCCUGGGGCUGAAGUAGGUCCCAAGGGUAUGGCUGUUCGCCAUUUAAAGUGGUACGCGAGCUGGGUUUAGAACGUCGUGAGACAGUUCGGUCCCUAUCUGCCGUGGGCGCUGGAGAACUGAGGGGGGCUGCUCCUAGUACGAGAGGACCGGAGUGGACGCAUCACUGGUGUUCGGGUUGUCAUGCCAAUGGCACUGCCCGGUAGCUAAAUGCGGAAGAGAUAAGUGCUGAAAGCAUCUAAGCACGAAACUUGCCCCGAGAUGAGUUCUCCCUGACUCCUUGAGAGUCCUGAAGGAACGUUGAAGACGACGACGUUGAUAGGCCGGGUGUGUAAGCGCAGCGAUGCGUUGAGCUAACCGGUACUAAUGAACCGUGAGGUUUAACCUU
rnacentral:rRNA from 1 species